UGGGGAAUAUUGCACAAUGGGCGCAAGCCUGAUGCAGCCAUGCCGCGUGUGUGAAGAAGGCCUUCGGGUUGUAAAGCACUUUCAGCGGGGAGGAAGGCGAUAAGGUUAAUAACCUUGUCGAUUGACGUUAACCGCAGAAGAAGCACCGGCUAACUCCGUGCCAGCAGCCGCGGUAAUACGGAGGGUGCAAGCGUUAAUCGGAAUUACUGGGCGUAAAGCGCACGCAGGCGGUCUGUCAAGUCGGAUGUGAAAUCCCCGGGCUCAACCUGGGAACUGCAUUCGAAACUGGCAGGCUAGAGUCUUGUAGAGGGGGGUAGAAUUCCAGGUGUAGCGGUGAAAUGCGUAGAGAUCUGGAGGAAUACCGGUGGCGAAGGCGGCCCCCUGAACGAAGACUGACGCUCAGGUGCGAAAGCGUGGGGAGCAAACAGG
rnacentral:rRNA from 1 species